rnacentral:rRNA from 1 species
AUUGAACGCUGGCGGCAGGCCUAAUACAUGCAAGUCGAGCGGAUGAAGGGAGCUUGCUCCUGGAUUCAGCGGCGGACGGGUGAGUAAUGCCUAGGAAUCUGCCUGGUAGUGGGGGAUAACGUCCGGAAACGGGCGCUAAUACCGCAUACGUCCUGAGGGAGAAAGUGGGGGAUCUUCGGACCUCACGCUAUCAGAUGAGCCUAGGUCGGAUUAGCUAGUUGGUUGGGUAAAGGCCUACCAAGGCGACGAUCCGUAACUGGUCUGAGAGGAUGAUCAGUCACACUGGAACUGAGACACGGUCCAGACUCCUACGGGAGGCAGCAGUGGGGAAUAUUGGACAAUGGGCGAAAGCCUGAUCCAGCCAUGCCGCGUGUGUGAAGAAGGUCUUCGGAUUGUAAAGCACUUUAAGUUGGGAGGAAGGGCAGUAAGUUAAUACCUUGCUGUUUUGACGUUACCAACAGAAUAAGCACCGGCUAACUUCGUG